GAGGGUAUAGCUCAAGCGGUAGAGCGCAUGCUUAGCAUGCACAAGGUCCUGGGUUCAGUCCCCAGUACCUCCU
rnacentral:tRNA from 1 species